GUGCAGGUCUGCUGCUGGAUGCGUUUGAUGGUGGAGCCCUUGGGCCCCACCACCAGCCCCACGACGCGGUAUGGCACUCUCA
ensembl:miRNA